rnacentral:rRNA from 1 species
AUUGAACGCUGGCGGCAUGCUUUACACAUGCAAGUCGAACGGCAGCACGGACUUCGGUCUGGUGGCGAGUGGCGAACGGGUGAGUAAUACAUCGGAACGUGCCCAGUUGUGGGGGAUAACUACUCGAAAGAGUAGCUAAUACCGCAUGAGAACUGAGGUUGAAAGCAGGGGAUCGUAAGACCUUGCGCAACUGGAGCGGCCGAUGGCAGAUUAGGUAGUUGGUGGGAUAAAAGCUUACCAAGCCGACGAUCUGUAGCUGGUCUGAGAGGACGACCAGCCACACUGGGACUGAGACACGGACCAGACUCCUACGGGAGGCAGCAGUGGGGAAUUUUGGACAAUGGGCGAAAGCCUGAUCCAGCAAUGCCGCGUGCAGGAUGAAGGCCUUCGGGUUGUAAACUGCUUUUGUACGGAACGAAAAGCUUCGGGCUAAUACCCUGGAGUCAUGACGGUACCGUAAGAAUAAGCACCGGCUAACUACGUGCCAGCCGCCGCUGUAACAC